GAUGAACGCUGGCGGCGUGCCUAAUACAUGCAAGUCGAGCGAACGGACGAGAAGCUUGCUUCUCUGAUGUUAGCGGCGGACGGGUGAGUAACACGUGGAUAACCUACCUAUAAGACUGGGAUAACUUCGGGAAACCGGAGCUAAUACCGGAUAAUAUUUUGAACCGCAUGGUUCAAAAGUGAAAGACGGUCUUGCUGUCACUUAUAGAUGGAUCCGCGCUGCAUUAGCUAGUUGGUAAGGUAACGGCUUACCAAGGCAACGAUGCAUAGCCGACCUGAGAGGGUGAUCGGCCACACUGGAACUGAGACACGGUCCAGACUCCUACGGGAGGCAGCAGUAGGGAAUCUUCCGCAAUAGGCGAAAGCCUGACGGAGCAACGCCGCGUGAGUGAUGAAGGUCUUCGGAUCGUAAAACUCUGUUAUUAGGGAAGAACAUAUGUGUAAGUAACUGUGCACAUCUUGACGGUACCUAAUCAGAAAGCCACGGCUAACUACGUGCCAGCAGCCGCGGUAAUACGUAGGUGGCAAGCGUUAUCCGGAAUUAUUGGGCGUAAAGCGCGCGUAGGCGGUUUUUUAAGUCUGAUGUGAAAGCCCACGGCUCAACCGUGGAGGGUCAUUGGAAACUGGAAAACUUGAGUGCAGAAGAGGAAAGUGGAAUUCCAUGUGUAGCGGUGAAAUGCGCAGAGAUAUGGAGGAACACCAGUGGCGAAGGCGACUUUCUGGUCUGUAACUGACGCUGAUGUGCGAAAGCGUGGGGAUCAAACAGGAUUAGAUACCCUGGUAGUCCACGCCGUAAACGAUGAGUGCUAAGUGUUAGGGGGUUUCCGCCCCUUAGUGCUGCAGCUAACGCAUUAAGCACUCCGCCUGGGGAGUACGACCGCAAGGUUGAAACUCAAAGGAAUUGACGGGGACCCGCACAAGCGGUGGAGCAUGUGGUUUAAUUCGAAGCAACGCGAAGAACCUUACCAAAUCUUGACAUCCUUUGACAACUCUAGAGAUAGAGCCUUCCCCUUCGGGGGACAAAGUGACAGGUGGUGCAUGGUUGUCGUCAGCUCGUGUCGUGAGAUGUUGGGUUAAGUCCCGCAACGAGCGCAACCCUUAAGCUUAGUUGCCAUCAUUAAGUUGGGCACUCUAAGUUGACUGCCGGUGACAAACCGGAGGAAGGUGGGGAUGACGUCAAAUCAUCAUGCCCCUUAUGAUUUGGGCUACACACGUGCUACAAUGGACAAUACAAAGGGCAGCGAAACCGCGAGGUCAAGCAAAUCCCAUAAAGUUGUUCUCAGUUCGGAUUGUAGUCUGCAACUCGACUACAUGAAGCUGGAAUCGCUAGUAAUCGUAGAUCAGCAUGCUACGGUGAAUACGUUCCCGGGUCU
rnacentral:rRNA from 1 species